UACGUAGGGCGCAAGCGUUGUCCGGAAUUAUUGGGCGUAAAGAGCUCGUAGGCGGUUUGUCGCGUCUGCUGUGAAAGCCCGGGGCUCAACCCCGGGUCUGCAGUGGGUACGGGCAGACUAGAGUGCAGUAGGGGAGACUGGAAUUCCUGGUGUAGCGGUGAAAUGCGCAGAUAUCAGGAGGAACACCGAUGGCGAAAGGCAGGGUCUCCUGGGGCUGUUACUGACGCUGGAGGAGCGAAAAGCAUGGGGGAGCGAACAGGAUUAGAUACCCGGCGUAGUCC
rnacentral:rRNA from 1 species